rnacentral:rRNA from 1 species
GACGAAAGCUAGGGGCACGAACCGGAUUAGAUACCCGGGUAGUCCUAGCCGUAAACGAUACUCGCUAGGUGUCGGCCACGGUGCGACCGUUGUCGGUGCCGUAGGGAAGCCGUGAAGCGAGCCACCUGGGAAGUACGGCCGCAAGGCUGAAACUUAAAGGAAUUGGCGGGGGAGCACCACAACGGGUGGAGCUUGCGGUUUAAUUGGAUUCAACGCCGGAAAUCUUACCGGGACCGACAGCAAUAUGAAGGCCAGGCUGAAGACUUUGCCGGAUUAGCUGAGAGGUGGUGCAUGGCCGUCGUCAGUUCGUACUGUGAAGCAUCCUGUUAAGUCAGGCAACGAGCGAGACCCACGCCCACAGUUGCCAGCGUACUCUCUGGAGUGACGGGUACACUGUGGGGACCGCCGCUGCUAAAGCGGAGGAAGGAAUGGGCAACGGUAGGUCAGUAUGCCCCGAAUAUCCCGGGCUACACGCGAGCUACAAUGGUUGGUACAAUGGGUAUCUACCCCGAAAGGGGACGGGAAUCUCCUAAAACCAAUCUUAGUUCGGAUUGAGGGCUGCAACUCGCCCUCAUGAAGCUGGAAUCCGUAGUAAUCGCGUUUCAACAGAACGCGGUGAAUACGUCCCUGCGCCUUGCACACACCG